rnacentral:rRNA from 1 species
GUGCCAGCAGCCGCGGUAAGACGAAGGGCGCAAGCGUUAUCCGGAAUUACUGGGCGUAAAGGGCGUCUAGGCGGCCAGUCAAGUCGACGUUGAAAUUCCUCGGCUAAACUGAGGGAGGUACGUCGAAACUGACCGGCUAGAGGGACGUAGAGGUAAGCGGAACUCUCGGAGUAGCGGUGAAAUGCGUAGAGACCGAGAGGUACCCCGAUGGUGAAGACAGCUUACUGGGCGUCUCCUGACGCUGAAGCGCUAAGGCCAGGGGAGCGAAGGGGAUUAGAUACCCCCGUAGUCCUGGCUUCAAACGAUGUGGGCUUGGUGUCGGCCCCCUAUAGAGGGUCGUUGCCGGAGUUAACGCGUUAAGCCCACCGCCUGGGGAUUACGUCCGCAAGGAUGAAACUCAAGGGAAUUGACGGGGGCCCCCACAACCGGUGGAGCACGUGGUU